rnacentral:rRNA from 1 species
UACUCCCGCCGGCGACCGGCGCACGGGUGAGUAACACGUAUGAAACCUGCCCGUAGCAGGGGGAUAAGCGGAAGAAAUUCCGUCUAAUACCGCGUAACAACCCGAGGAGGCAUCUCCUCGGGUUUAAAGGAAGCGACUCCGGCUACGGAUGGUCAUGCGUCGCAUUAGCUAGUUGGCGGGGUAACGGCCCACCAAGGCGACGAUGCGUAGGGGUUCUGAGAGGAAGGUCCCCCACACUGGUACUGAGACACGGACCAGACUCCUACGGAAGGCAGCAG